rnacentral:rRNA from 1 species
UACGAAGGGGGCUAGCGUUGCUCGGAAUCACUGGGCGUAAAGCGCACGUAGGCGGAUUGCUAAGUCAGGGGUGAAAUCCUGGAGCUCAACUCCAGAACUGCCCUUGAUACUGAAGAUCUUGAGUCCGGGAGAGGUGAGUGGAACUGCGAGUGUAGAGGUGAAAUUCGUAGAUAUUCGCAAGAACACCAGUGGCGAAGGCGGCUCACUGGCCCGGUACUGACGCUGAGGCACGAAAGCGUGGGGAGCAAACAGG